GGCGAGCAGAGCGAGCUUGGACUCGCUCUGUCUCCGAGGUUCGAUUCAGCACUGGUGUACAGAGAAGCUGAGCUUUCGACAUCACAGGAAGAAAUAGCCUUUUCUAUGGUGAUGACCAGAAGUUUUCCUCAGCACACCUCUCAGCUUCUCCUUCCAGCUUCAACACUCUGGGAACCUGCCAUACUUGAUCUCUUUGGAGAGGUAUUCUGGG